CACGUAGGGCGCAAGCGUUGUCCGGAAUCAUUGGGCGUAAAGAGCGCGUAGGCGGCCACCGCAAGUCGACUGUGAAAUCUCCGGGCUUAACCCGGAAAGGUCAGCCGAUACUGCGGGGCUAGAGUGCAGAAGGGGCAACUGGAAUUCUCGGUGUAGCGGUGAAAUGCGUAGAUAUCGAGAGGAACACCUGCGGCGAAGGCGGGUUGCUGGGCUGACACUGACGCUGAUGCGCGAAAGCUAGGGGAGCGAACAGG
rnacentral:rRNA from 1 species